GAAAUGCGAUAAGUAGUGUGAAUUGCAGAAUUCAGUGAAUCAUCGAAUCUUUGAACGCACAUUGCGCCCCUUGGUAUUCCAUGGGGCAGGCCUGUUCGAGCGUCAUUUGUACCUUCAAGCUUUGCUUGGUGUUGGGUGUUUGUCUCGCCUCUGCGUGUAGACUCGCCUCAAAACAAUUGGCAGCCGGCGUAUUGAUUUCGGAGCGCAGUACAUCUCGCGCUUUGCACUCAUAACGACGACGUCCAACAGUACAUUUUUACACUCUUGACCUCGGAUCAGGUAGGGAUACCCGCUGAACUUAAGC
rnacentral:misc_RNA from 1 species